GACGUAGGGCGCGAGCGUUGUCCGGAUUUAUUGGGCGUAAAGAGCUCGUAGGCGGCUUGUCGCGUCGACUGUGAAAUCCCGCGGCUCAACUGCGGGUCUGCAGUCGAUACGGGCAGGCUAGAGUUCGGUAGGGGAGACUGGAAUUCCUGGUGUAGCGGUGAAAUGUGCAGAUAUCAGGAGGAACACCGGUGGCGAAGGCGGGUCUCUGGGCAACAACUGACGCUGAGGAGCGAAAGCGUGGGGAGCGAACAGG
rnacentral:rRNA from 1 species